GGGCACAUGGAGUGCUGUGGGGCAACAAUGAGUGCUAUGGGGUGAUAUGGAGUGCUAUGGGGUCACAUGGAGUCCUAUGGGGCCAUAUGGAGCGCUAUGGGGUUAUAUGGACCGCUAUGGAGCCAUAUGGAGCGCUAUGGGGUAAUAUGGAGUGCUAUGGGGCCACAUGGAGUGCUAUGGGGUAAUAUGGAGUGCUAUGGAGUAAUAUGGAGCGCUAUCGGGGUUAUAUGGAGUGUAUGGGGUCCAUGAGCGCUAUGGGUAAUAUGGAGCGCUAUGGGGUAAUAUGGAGCGCUAUGGGGUAAUAUGGAGUGCUAUGGGGUAAUAUGGAGCGCUAUGGGGUAAUAUGGAGAGCUAUGGGGUAAUAUGGAGUGCUAUGGGGCCACACAGAGCUCUAUGGGGUAAUAUGGAGCGGCUAUGGGUAAUAUGGAGCGCUAUGGGACAAUAUGGAGUCCUAUGGGGUGAUAUGGAGUGCUA
ensembl:lncRNA